GAUGAACGCUGGCGGCGUGCUUAACACAUGCAAGUCGAACGAUUAAGACCCCUUCGGGGGUGUAUAGAGUGGCGAACGGGUGAGUAACACGUGGGCAACCUGCCCCUUCCUCUGGGAUAACACGGAGAAAUCCGUGCUAAUACCGGAUACUCCAUAUCUGCGGCAUCGCGGAUAUGGGAAGGCUCCGACGGGAAGGGAUGGGCCCGCGGUCCAUUAGCUAGUCGGUGGGGUAACGGCCUACCGAGGCGACGAUGGAUAGCCGGGUUGAGAGACCGACCGGCCACAUUGGGACUGAGACACGGCCCAGACUCCUACGGGAGGCAGCAGUGGGGAAUUUUGCGCAAUGGGGGAAACCCUGACGCAGCAACGCCGCGUGCGGGAUGAAGGCCUUCGGGUUGUAAACCGCUUUCAGCAGGGAAGAGUACAGACGGUACCUGCAGAAGAAGCUCCGGCUAACUACGUGCCAGCCGCCGCAGUAA
rnacentral:rRNA from 1 species